rnacentral:rRNA from 1 species
UAGUCUGCAACUCGACUACAUGAAGCUGGAAUCGCUAGUAAUCGCGGAUCAGAAUGCCGCGGUGAAUACGUUCCCGGGUCUUGUACACACCGCCCGUCACACCAUGGGAGUCAGUAACGCCCGAAGCCGGUGACCCAACCUAUCAGGAGGGAGCCGUCGAAGGCGGGACGGAUGACUGGGGUGAAGUCGUAACAAGGUAGC